rnacentral:rRNA from 1 species
UACGGAGGGGGCUAGCGUUGUUCGGAAUUACUGGGCGUAAAGCGCGCGUAGGCGGACCUGUAAGUCAGGGGUGAAAUCCCGGGGCUCAACCUCGGAACUGCCUUUGAUACUGCACGUCUCGAGUCCGGAAGAGGUGGGUGGAAUUCCUAGUGUAGAGGUGAAAUUCGUAGAUAUUAGGAAGAACACCGGUGGCGAAGGCGGCCCACUGGUCCGGUACUGACGCUGAGGUGCGAAAGCGUGGGGAGCAAACAGG